GAUGAACGCUAGCGGAAGGCUUAAUACAUGCAAGUCGAGCGGUAGGUGGCUUCGGCCAUUGAGAGCGGCGCACGGGUGAGUAACGCGUACAUGACCUGCCUGUCAGAAGGGGAUAGCCCUGGGAAACUGGGAUUAAUACCCUAUGGUAUUGAUAUUAUGAAUGAUAUCAAUUAAAGUUGAGGCGCUGACAGAUGGAUGUGCGUCUGAUUAGCUAGUUGGUAGGGUAACGGCCUACCAAGGCGACGAUCAGUAGGGGGCGUGAGAGCGUGGUCCCCCACACGGGUACUGAGACACGGACCCGACUCCUACGGGAGGCAGCAGUAAGGAAUAUUGGUCAAUGCCCGCAAGGGUGAACCAGCCAUUCCGCGUGGAGGAUGAAGGCCCUAUGGGGUUGUAAACUUCUUUUAGAUGGGAAGAAAUGCUAGAUGUAUCUGGUACUGACGGUACCAUCAGAAUAAGCACCGGCUAACUCCGUGCCAGCAGCCGCGGUAAU
rnacentral:rRNA from 1 species